CAGAUAUUUGAAUAUUCCGUCAGGGACUAACACUUUGGGUGUGCACACUCAGAAUAUUUACGUUUUAAGAAAAAGAUUUUGUUGAACAACAAAGAUCGCGUUAAACCUAAAUCAAAGCACGUGUGGUGAAAUCUUUGACAAGCCGUAAUAUAAUUUCACAAUGUUUGAAUAUAAAAAAGAUUUUUUAAUAUCAGUAAUAGA